rnacentral:rRNA from 1 species
UACAGAGGGUGCAAGCGUUGUUCGGAAUUACUGGGCGUAAAGCGCGCGCAGGCGGAUCCUGCAAGUCCGGAGUGAAAUCGCACUGCUCAACGGUGAGGCUGCUUUGGAUACUGCGGAUCUGGAGACCGGUAGAGGCUGGUAGAAUUGCAGGUGUAGCGGUGGAAUGCGUAGAGAUCUGCAAGAAUACCCGUGGCGAAGGCGGCCAGCUGGGCCGGUUCUGACGCUGAGGCGCGAAAGCGUGGGGAGCAAACAGG